rnacentral:rRNA from 1 species
GACGAACGCUGGCGGCGUGCUUAACACAUGCAAGUCGAACGGAAAGGCCCUGCUUUUGUGGGGUGCUCGAGUGGCGAACGGGUGAGUAACACGUGAGUAACCUGCCCUUGACUUUGGGAUAACUUCAGGAAACUGGGGCUAAUACCGGAUAGGAGCUCCUGCUGCAUGGUGGGGGUUGGAAAGUUUCGGCGGUUGGGGAUGGACUCGCGGCUUAUCAGCUUGUUGGUGGGGUAGUGGCUUACCAAGGCUUUGACGGGUAGCCGGCCUGAGAGGGUGACCGGCCACAUUGGGACUGAGAUACGGCCCAGACACCUACGGGGGGGAGAAGUGGGGAAUAUUGCACAAUGGGCGGAAGCGUGAUGCAGCAACGCCGCGUGCGGGAUGACGGCCUUCGGGUUGUAGACCGCUUUCGCCUGUGACGAAGCGUGAGUGACGGUAAUGGGUAAAGAAGCACCGGCUAACUACGUG